AUCCCUGCUGCGGAGAAAAAAAGUACCAUUAUCCGUGGAUCAGUAAUGAACAAAAGAAAGCGCUCAAAUUUUAUUAAAGUUCUAUUUUUGGAUAUUUCUGUGGCAGUAGUUUUACGCCGUUAUGUCGGAGGAGAAUAAAAAUAUAUUUUCAUCCUUCGAUUGUACAUCGAAGCAAUCGUCACCUGAUGGGAUAAUCAAUUAUGUCGCGCAAGUGUCUUUCAACCCUGGUGAUUCUUUAGAGGAUAUUUAUGAAGAAAUCGAUUGGGAAUCUCUUGAUAUUGUGAAAUUACUCCGUUCAUUAGGAGUAUGCAAAAAUGUCAUUAAAAAAUUCAUUGGUAUAAUGAUGUUUUUUCAAGUGAAAUAUGUUCAUUAGAUUGUUUUGCGAGCCGUACCUUGCAGAUCGAACAAGGAUCAUAUCUGGUUUAAUCUCCUGGAGAAUCUCACAGAACCUGCCUCCAAUAAGUUCACCUAUGAAGUCAAGUGAGAAUGUUAGUAGCACCCACCGAAGUCCAAUGAAAAGCGAGAACUGUACUGCCUCUUUCUUACUGAAUAAUUCAGCCAGAGGUCAACGGAUCCUGAAAGUGUACGAAGAGACGAAAUUAUUGAGUAAAACAGACAGGAGAAACAUUACGCACAUAGUCAUCGACGAGUACAAAGACCGCUUUGGAAAAUUGACUCACAAGCAGCUUGAAGACCGGGCAGCGGAGCUUAAUUAAUUUGCAUACUGUACAUCAAUCCUUAUAUUUAAGACUUUGCAAUUAUUAUGAAACAAACAGUAAUAUUGAGGGUCUACAAAUUCAUAGUAGCAGACAUGGCAUUUCACCAGAGUGAUAAACGCUAGAGUCAGAUUUCUGCCACACCGAGGAUGAAAAAACGAAGCACCGCACAAAGAGGAAAGCGCACUUCUUCUCAGUGUCGAAUAGACAGCAUUUGAGUGUGUGCUUGUGGUUAAAGCAGCUGGCGCGAGUGAAACACAUUCUCUUCGCAUGAAUCGCUCACACGCGCUCUCGAUUUUGCGUGUCCACGCUUCAUCUACGAAAACCAUACAGCAGAGUGCUCACCGGCGUGUACACCUCUGUGAAAGUAUCUGCAUCCACCUCAGAGAAUUUAUUAGCUAAUGCUCUAGCACUUUGGUGCGAUUCAGUGGAAGAGGUAAAAGGAAAUAAACAAACGCACUCAUGAUGCGUGCACACUUACACAACAGUGGUGUAUAAAUGUGAAAGAGAAGAGCUCUCGUUGAAGUUGUCAGUGCGAGGGGAGAAAUUUUGCUUGCUCUUCGUCACACAGAGGAGAUAGACAUCUCUGCAUAGUAGUUCAUAGUAGUAAGAAAAUAAUUUAAGUGGUUAGUAACAUUUAGUGUGUUCGAGGUCUGCGAGAUAAUAUUGUUAUUUAGUCGUGCAUUUGUAAU